rnacentral:lncRNA from 1 species
CCUGUCUCCUAGAGCUCACAGAACUAUUUCCAGAAACCCCGGAGCAUCGUCAGCCAUUGCUGGCCUGCCAACCUGCCUCCUGUCUGAAGCUGUCUCUGUCUGGAAGAGCCAUUUACCCAACAGCCUGUCAGCGCGGAGACAAAUCACUUCCUCCCCUCGGCCUCGCUGCCAGCCCCGAAGGAGACUGUGGAACAUCCUGGUGGAACCGGGACCCCGCGCUGUCUCCACGGGAGGCGUCCGGUGCCAGCCUGGCUCACCUGAGCCCCGGUGCACACCCGGGCUUCGCACCAACCCAUGCCUCGUACGCUCUUGUCUCCCUUUCUGUCUCUGCCUCUCUUCCCCCAUCUCUCUCUCUCUUUCCCUCUCUCUCUCCCUCUCUCCCUCUCUCUCUCUCCCUCUCUAUCUCUCUCUAUCUCUGUCUCUCCCCGCCCCACCGCUGGUGAUUGCUGGGUGACCGUCUGGAGUGGGCGCCGAGCACGCACGCGCCCUGGCCUGGGUCCCCCACCCCCCGCCUGUGCUCCUGCAAGAAAAGCCCGCGCCCAGGCCGCGGGGCCGCUCUUCCCGUCUCAGGAGGAAGGGAAGGGGCACAGGAGUCCGGGCGCGGGGCUGGGGGCGGUGCUGCCGGGCGGUCUCCCCGACCCAGCACGCGGGGGUCCGGGAGCCGCGGGAAGGACAAGGCCGCCCCCUGGCGCUGGCGAGCGCUGCAGCUCCCCAGACCAGCUCGGAGCCAGCGCGGGGACUGCGCGGCUGCGGGGCGGG